GGGGCAGCGGGAAGGUUAGCUUGCUAAUCUUUGCCGGCGACCGGCGCACGGGUGAGUAACACGUAUGCAACCUGUCCGGUACAGGGGGAUAAGCGGCGGAAACGCCGUCUAAUACCGCGUGACAACCCGAGGGGGCAUCCCCUUGGGUUCAAAGGAGAGAUCCGGUACCGGCUGGGCAUGCGGCGCAUUAGCUAGUUGGCGGGGCAACGGCCCACCAAGGCGACGAUGCGUAGGGGUUCUGAGAGGAAGGUCCCCCACACUGGAACUGAGACACGGUCCAGACUCCUACGGGAGGCAGCAGUGAGGAAUAUUGGUCAAUGGGCGCAAGCCUGAACCAGCCAAGUCGCGUGAGGGAAGACGGCCCUACGGGUUGUAAACCUCUUUUGCCGGGGAGCAAGCCUGAGCACGUGUGCCCAGGCGGAGAGUACCCGGAGAAAAAGCAUCGGCUAACUCCGUGCCAGCAGCCGCGGUAAUACGGAGGAUGCGAGCGUUAUCCGGAUUUAUUGGGUUUAAAGGGUGCGCAGGCGGGCUGUUAAGCCGGCGGUAAAAAUUCAGGGCUCAACCCGGUCGAGCCGUCGGAACGGGCAGUCUUGAGUGGGCGAGAAGUAUGCGGAAUGCGUGGUGUAGCGGUGAAA
rnacentral:rRNA from 1 species